AAUAACCUAUUUGAUCCAGGGUAUUCUAAUUAAGCACACGAUAUAGAGAGAAACAAAUUGUUUUUUUCAAGAAUAAAAGAUCGAGUAUUUCUACUUAAUUUCAGAAAAGAAGAAAGUUAUAACUGAUUAGGGCGGGAAUUCUCAAAUUGGGAGUAAAGUUGGCAUUUCGAAGAUCUUGAAGCUAGAGUUUAUGAUAUCCCUCCUCAACUGCACAUGUUUUGCCACCGUUUGCAAUGGAUUUUGAGCGGUCUGUUAUAGCUUUAAGAAGAAGCCUUUUGUAGAAGUAACUAAAAGAGUUGCAUCUAGGGAAGAUGGUGUUGCAACAAAAGCAGAAACUAUGAAAAAGGAUUCUAUCAAAGCAAAAGCUCAAAUAAUUAGCGUUAUACGCCUGGCGAAGAUAUCAAAAUCGUUGAAGAUAUCUCCUUGAAUGGUAGAAAAGUAAAGCAAGAUCAGUAUAUAGUGUAAUUGAUCAAUUAUGUUUCAGGCUACUUCUGGACUAUUCGACAAACUAAAAAUAUAGAUUGUUACUAUUGAUGCUGCUAAUGUUAAUUACUUGACUUUUCUGGAAUAUGUUGAGAAUAGUUACAAAUUUUAUAAGCUCACAAAGGUCUGGUGAAUAUCAUCUAGUUCUGUAUCGAUGCUCGGGUGACUUUAAUGUAAUAGUGGAUACAGUCCUAAAGGGAACAUAUGACAUCAAACAAAAUAGAAUAACCACCGGUUAUCAAUUGGCCAACACUUCAAAUUCUGAGCUAAAUUAGAAACAUAUUGCACAUUAUGUAGAAGCUUUACAUUACCCUGGGUGGUUUUUCUGGAAAUUGUACCUUUCCCUUCAACCUUCAUUGGCUUGUUGUCUCCAAGUCGGACCUCACUUUUCUGGGUUCAUCAAGUUCUUUAAACAAUGACCUUGUUCCGGACAUAUGUUUUGAGCAUCCACUAUCCAUGAACCACACUCCAUUAAGGCCAUCAUCAAUAGAAGAUUGUGUCAUAAAUAACAUACUCCCCUCUUCAACUUCCUCGGUAAAAUCUGCUUGUUUUUUGUCAUCGCUCUGCUGGGUCCAACAAUUAGCUUGGCCCAACUUCUUGCAAUAUCCAUACAGAAUAUUGUUUCUGUUUAGACGUUAGUCACUAAAUUGGCCUCUUCCUCUGCUGUAGCCACGACCUCAACCUCGAUAAUCACCUCUUCCUCUGCCUAAGCCACUUGAAUAUUCUGAUUAAGCCACUUGAAUAUUCUGAUUUUCCUUUGUAAAAAGGCCCCCCUUUGCCUGUAAAGCCUUCACCUCCACCUUUUCAUAUGACCUACUGAUCCAAACUUCAUGGGCUAACAAUGAACUCAUUAAUUCAUCAAAAUUAUAAGUAGAUAGAUAUUUAGAUUCUUCUAUUGCAACAACAACAUGGUCAAAGCCUUUUGGUAAACUUCUCAAAACCUUAUAACAGCUUCAUUACUAACAUUUCCACCCUAUGUUUUCAUGUGAUUAAAAAUUUCAGACACCCUAAAAAUAAAUUCCUGCCCAUAUUUUUUUUAUGGCCAAAGUUUCAAACUCACGUCAAAGUGUUUGUAAUUUCACAGUUUACCUUUUUGACGCCCAAAUAUUCUUGCUUUAGAGUAUCCCAUGCUUGUUUGGAGUUUCUUGCUGUUGCAGUUCUGGGGAAAAUUGCAUCAUCCAAUGCCGAUUAGAGGAGAAAUAAUGUCUUAGCAUCUUUCAUGCGAGUCUCCCUUAAUUGAUUGUUAGGUUGAGCCAGUUUUGAAUUUGGCUCAACAUACCCCAUUCCCCUAAAUCCAAUAGCUUCUCAGACUUGAAUAUUGCCUUCAUUUUGAAACUCCAAAAUGAUAUUUUCCUCCAAAGAUGAUAUUUUGCCCUUUAAAUAGUGGAAUCAAGGGUUGAGAUAAAGGAUUGGAACUAUUGCUUGCUAUGAAUUUCUCUCAAUCUAUCAUCUAAUUAAUUUGACCUCACCUGCUGAGAGAAAUGGUUGUCUCUCUAUAUGGCUCUGAUACUAUUAGUUAGUUGCUUUAGGACUGCAGUAUCUAUUUUUAAAGUUUCCUGUAUUUUUUUUCCAAUUAUUUUAAGGGUAAUUACCAUGGUUAGCACCAUGACUUAAAAGU